rnacentral:lncRNA from 1 species
AUAAAACGAACAACAACAACAACGAACUUCCAACUUUUUUUUAUUUGUCGUCGGCAAUGAACGAACAGACGAACUCUCAUCAUACACAUGAUUUAACUAGAUUGCGAGGUUGAAGAUAUGACCAGUCCAUAUAAGCUCCUAUUACCAGAUAAUUUCGCUUCAUGGUAGUGUAACCAAGCAAGUCAUCAUGAUUCGACACCAGGCAGAGACUUUUAUAAUAACCUGGGUUGCCUAUGCUUCAACCUAUCUUCUACGUAAACCUCUUGGAGUGGUGAAAGCAGACCUUGCAUCAGAGCUUUCUAUGAGCAAGGCUCAACUUGGGUGGUUAGAUACAUCAAUGCUUCUUCCAUAUGCCACAGUUCAGGUAUAGUAUCCAUUGCCUUUCAGAGGAUAUAUAUAUCCAAGGUUUUAAAUUAUUUUUCAGUGA